rnacentral:rRNA from 1 species
UACAGAGGUCCCAAGCGUUGUUCGGAUUCACUGGGCGUAAAGGGUGCGUAGGCGGUUUGGUAAGUCUGAUGUGAAAUCUAUGGGCUCAACUCAUAGUCUGCAUCGGAAACUGCCGGGCUUGAGUGUGGGAGAGGUGAGUGGAAUUCCUGGUGUAGCGGUGAAAUGCGUAGAGACCCGGAGGAACACCAGUGGCGAAGGCGGCGUCCUGGCCUGCGACUGACGCUGUGGCGCGAAAGCUAGGGGAGCGAACGGG